GUGUGAUAGGAAUAGGUCCUUUUAUUCAAGGACGUGACGAACAUAGAAAAUGCUGCAAAACCCCAGCUACUGUCGUCAUCACUCUAAAUGAGUUUUGCCGUCUUGCAGGAAAGCUGUGUGCUCAGGUCGGUCUCAGCGGAAACGUGAAGCCACUGGUGUGUGUGUGUGUUUUAUAUUUACAGAUGGCGACAUCCCCUCCUGACAAUUUGACUUUGAACUUCUAAAUGGAGCUAUUUAUCCAAAAAUCUCUCAUGAAUCUGAAGCACUCUUAACUAAAAAGAUAAGCCCAAGAAAACACCCGCCAACAAAGAACAUGCUCCCCCAGCACCACCAGCCACCCUCCUCCAGCCAGUACUCGCUGCCAAGUUACCCAUCAUUCCCCCUUGUGUGCCAGCUUCGAACGUC